AUGGAGGUACCCAGUCAGGGUGCCAGGUGAUCCGUUACAAUGGUAUUUCCAGAUCCAUCACUGCCAGUAUCGUGAGUCUGAUAUGUGGGUAGAACAGCAGAAUUGGCAAUCACCUAUGUGAUUUUUUUUCUUUUUCUUUUGUUUUGUAGUGUCUAGUGAAAAGCUCUGCAUUUUUCUGUUUGGUGGAUUUGUGGACAGAAGUUCCUGGACUGGAAUGAAUGGAGAGGGAAACACAGCACCAGUGUUUUAUCAACCAAAUUCUAUUGCCCCAAAUAUUAACAACUAUAUUCUAGGGAGACUGUGAGAUCUAUAACAGUGGUUAUUGUGGCUUGAGUCCAUUGGCGCUGUCCCUCCAAUCUGUGUUUAAACCAUCCCAUCUCAUUGAAUUGAUUAUGGUGCCUGGAGUCUCCUAUGGCUGUCAUUCCAUUCAGUUUUAAAUUAUCCCUCUCAUUGAAGUGGUUAUAGUUCCUGGGUAUGGUGUGAUAUACACCUGUGGUGUAUGGUGGGUGUUACUUUGAAGGAGGAUGGUAGGUGUAUAAUAGAAGGGAGUUAUUUGCAGGAGGAGGACAGUAGGUGUAUAAUAAAGGGAGGAGGAGGACGGUAUGUGUAUAAUAGAGGGGAAUUAUUUGGAGGAGGAGGACAGUAGGUGUAUAAUAGAGGGGAGUUAUUUGGAGGAGGAGGACAGUAGGUGUAUAAUAGAGGGAAGAGGAGGACGGUAUAAUAGAGGGGGGAGGAGGAGGAUGAUAGGUGUUUAAUGGAGGGGAGUUAUUUAGAGGAGGAUGGUAGGUGUAGAAUAGAGAGGAGUUAUUUGGAGGAGGACGACGGUAGGUGUAUAAUAGAGGGGAGUGAUUUGGAGGAG